rnacentral:rRNA from 1 species
UACGUAGGGGCAAGCGUUGUCCGGAAUUAUUGGGCGUAAAGGGCACGCAGGCGGUCCUUUAAGUCUGAUGUGAAAUCUUGCGGCUUAACCGCAAGCUGUCAUUGGAAACUGGUCGACUUGAGUGCAGAAGAGGGAAGUGGAAUUCCAUGUGUAGCGGUGAAAUGCGUAGAGAUAUGGAGGAACACCAGUGGCGAAGGCGGCUUCCUGGUCUGUAACUGACGCUGAGGCUCGAAAGCAUGGGUAGCAAACAGGAUUAGA